UACGGAGGGUGCAAGCGUUGUCCGGAUUUAUUGGGUUUAAAGGGUGCGUAGGCGGAUUAUUAAGUCAGUGGUGAAAGUCUUCAGCUUAACUGAAGAAGUGCCAUUGAUACUGGUAGUCUUGAGUACAGUAGAGGUAGGCGGAAUUUAUGGUGUAGCGGUGAAAUGCAUAGAUACCAUAAAGAACACCGAUAGCGUAGGCAGCUUACUAUACUGUAACUGACGCUGAGGCACGAAAGCGUGGGGAGCGAACAGGAUUAGAUACCCCCGUA
rnacentral:rRNA from 1 species